AGCGAACGCUGGCGGCAGGCCUAACACAUGCAAGUCGAACGAACUCUUCGGAGUUAGUGGCGGACGGGUGAGUAACACGUGGGAACGUGCCUUUAGGUUCGGAAUAACUCAGGGAAACUUGUGCUAAUACCGAAUGUGCCCUUCGGGGGAAAGAUUUAUCGCCUUUAGAGCGGCCCGCGUCUGAUUAGCUAGUUGGUGAGGUAACGACUCACCAAGGCGACGAUCAGUAGCUGGUCUGAGAGGAUGGCCAGCCACACUGGGACUGAGACACGGCCCAGACUCCUACGGGAGGCAGCAGUGGGGAAUCUUGCGCAAUGGGCGAAAGCCUGUCGCAGCCAUGCCGCGUGAAUGAUGAAGGUCUUAGGAUUGUAAAAUUCUUUCACCGGGGACGAUAAUGACGGUACCCGGAGAAGAAGCCCCGGCUAACUUCGUGCCAGCCGCCGCAGUAA
rnacentral:rRNA from 1 species